GUCCAUGGGAUUUUCCAGGCAAGAGUACUGGAGUGGGGUGCCAUUGCCUUCUCCAGUGCAUAGUGAUUCUAAGGUACAUCAGGCUUUUAGAAUGACAAUCCAGAAAGCAAGGGAGCAUUGCCAGGACAAGUCAGGAGCGAGGAUAGCAGUUAAAGAAGCGUAUUCCUAUUAAGGAAGGGUACUGUCAUCAUUAUCUCCAGCGCAGACGAGGACACUUACACGCCCUUUAACGAGGCUUACGGAUCCUUAGUUUUGCAAGUACCUAACCUACAGAGUGUGUGAGCAGCAGAGCCAGCAUUCAAUGGAAAGAGGGAGGAAAGUCUUUCUGAUUCCACCUGUGUCUGCUGCUUUCCUGCCAUCUCUUCAACAGAUUUGUCCCACUGUUGCAAACAUAAGCUGGUAAUACACAAACGCGUAGUCAGAACAAAAAAUUUAAAAAGACAGAACAAAUCCCAUCUGGGCAUUGAUCUGUAUCUCUGGAAUUCAGCGUGGUGUUCUCUCUCAUUUUGGCCAUGCAGACCUUCCAUGGCUUGCUUUUCGCUUCUCUGGUGCCAACGCUGUUUUUGACAAUUGUUUAACGUCCUAUAUGCAUUAAAGACUUUUUCUUUUUUAAAAAAUCUUUAUUGGAGUAUAACUGAUUUACAAUGUUGUGUUAGUUUCAGGUGUACAGCAAAGUGAAUCUGCUAUCCAUACACACAUAUCCACUCUCGUUUAGAUUAUUUUCCCGUGUAGACCAUUACAGAGUAUUGAGUGGAGAUCCCUAUGCUGCGCAGCAAGUUCUUAUUAGUUAUU
ensembl:lncRNA